UACGAAGGGAGCUAGCGUUGUUCGGAAUAACUGGGCGUAAAGGGUGCGUAGGUGGACGUGUGCGUUAGAUGUGAAAUCCCCGGGCUUAACCUGGGAACUGCAUUUAAUACGGCACGUCUAGAGUGCGAGAGGGGAAAGCGGAAUGGCGAGUGGAGCAGUGAAAUGCAUUGAGAUUCGCUAGAACACCAGAGGCGAAGGCGGCUUUCUGGCUCGCUACUGACACUAAGGCACGAAAGCGUGGGGAGCAAACAGG
rnacentral:rRNA from 1 species